GCAGGAAUGGUGGAAUGGUAGACACGGGGGACUUAAAAUCCCCUGGCCCUUAUCGGCUGUGUGGGUUCGAGUCCCACUUCCUGUACCA
rnacentral:tRNA from 1 species